UUCUCUUGCCGAUUGGCUUAGAUCAAGUGUAGUAUCUGUUCUUCUUAUGUUUAACCACUAAGACUUUUUAUGUUGAACCCAAUCUUUUGAACCAGUUGGGAGACCUCUGGAGUGCUUCUCUACGUCUCUCGGCACAGUGUCACCUGUCUUUGCACUUCCACAGGCUGACGCGAACCAAC
rnacentral:snRNA from 1 species